rnacentral:lncRNA from 1 species
GGUCGAUCCUCAGCACCACAUACAAACAAAGAUGUGUCCGCCGAAAAUUAAAAAAUAAUAUAUUAAAAUUCUCUCUCUCUCUCUCUCUCUCUCUUUAAAAAAUAAAAUAAAUAAAUAACUUAGAGAUCUGGAAAUUCAGUAGGAAAAAUAUGAUGGGCUCCAGUUAUUUUCUGUUAAGAUUAACAAUGUCUUUGGCAAUUCCUCUUUAAAUUAUGCUGGAGGAAAAAACUAUAUAUGGGUCAUAAAUGACUGUUCAGAAAGAAUGAUCCACCAGUGAUGAAAGAGACACUCUUCAGCAUUUGUUAUGAUAAUACUAUUCUUACAGAAAUGAUAACUUUUUGUUGAUUCAACCACUGGGUGCAUGUAAAUCCAUAUUUGUGUUAAUACAUUAGUUUUCUAUUGUUGCUGGGGAAAAAAAUCACAAAGUUAGUUACUUAAAACAAUUAAACUGUGUUAGAGUCUGUAAACAAGUCAGGAUGGUGCCUGGCAAAUGUUAGAGUCUGUAAACAAGUCUGGAUGGCGCCUGGCAAAAUGCCAGAGGGAGUGGUUUGUGAAGUAACACCAGCGAGCCAUUAAGUGUGGAGAUUCCUUAUUGGUUGACUGAUGUUAUCUAGUUUAUGCUAAUUAAGAUAAGCUGUGCAAAAUGUAUAAAUACCUCUGUUGUCCUACAAUAAAUGGCUUCCACUCCUGCUGUAUCAACGUACACAAGUUGUUCGUCAC